GCGGGUGUGGCGGAACUGGUAGACGCGCUGGAUUUAGGUUCCAGUGGAGCAAUCCGUGGGGGUUCGAGUCCCUUCGCCCGUACCA
rnacentral:tRNA from 1 species